AUUGAACGCUGGCGGCAUGCCUUACACAUGCAAGUCGAACGGUAACAGGUUAAGCUGACGAGUGGCGAACGGGUGAGUAAUAUAUCGGAACGUGCCCAGUCGUGGGGGAUAACGUAGCGAAAGCUACGCUAAUACCGCAUACGAUCUACGGAUGAAAGCGGGGGAUCGCAAGACCUCGCGCGAUUGGAGCGGCCGAUAUCAGAUUAGGUUGUUGGUGAGGUAAAAGCUCACCAAGCCUGCGAUCUGUAGCUGGUCUGAGAGGACGACCAGCCACACUGGAACUGAGACACGGUCCAGACUCCUACGGGAGGCAGCAGUGGGGAAUUUUGGACAAUGGACGCAAGUCUGAUCCAGCAAUGCCGCGUGCAGGACGAAGGCCUUCGGGUUGUAAACUGCUUUUGUACGGAACGAAACGGUGAGCUCUAAUAUAGUUUGCUAAUGACGGUACCGUAAGAAUAAGCACCGGCUAACUACGUGCCAGCAGCCGCGGUAA
rnacentral:rRNA from 1 species